rnacentral:rRNA from 3 species
GGCGGCGUGCUUAACACAUGCAAGUCGAGCGGAAAGGCCCUUCGGGGUACUCGAGCGGCGAACGGGUGAGUAACACGUGAGCAACCUGCCCCAGGCUUUGGGAUAACCCCGGGAAACCGGGGCUAAUACCGAAUAUGACCUCUGACCGCAUGGUUGGUGGUGGAAAGUUUUUCGGCUUGGGAUGGGCUCGCGGCCUAUCAGCUUGUUGGUGGGGUGAUGGCCUACCAAGGCGACGACGGGUAGCCGGCCUGAGAGGGCGACCGGCCACACUGGGACUGAGACACGGCCCAGACUCCUACGGGAGGCAGCAGUGGGGAAUAUUGCACAAUGGGCGGAAGCCUGAUGCAGCGACGCCGCGUGAGGGAUGACGGCCUUCGGGUUGUAAACCUCUUUCAGCAGGGACGAAGCGUAAGUGACGGUACCUGCAGAAGAAGCGCCGGCCAACUACGUGCCAGCAGCCGCGGUAAGACGUAGGGCGCGAGCGUUGUCCGGAUUUAUUGGGCGUAAAGAGCUCGUAGGCGGCUUGUCGCGUCGACCGUGAAAACUUGGGGCUCAACCCCAAGCCUGCGGUCGAUACGGGCAGGCUAGAGUUCGGUAGGGGAGACUGGAAUUCCUGGUGUAGCGGUGAAAUGCGCAGAUAUCAGGAGGAACACCGGUGGCGAAGGCGGGUCUCUGGGCCGAUACUGACGCUGAGGAGCGAAAGCGUGGGGAGCGAACAGGAUUAGAUACCCUGGUAGUCCACGCUGUAAACGUUGGGCGCUAGGUGUGGGGGGCCUCUCCGGUUCCCUGUGCCGCAGCUAACGCAUUAAGCGCCCCGCCUGGGGAGUACGGCCGC